UUCAUCCAAACCACAUUUAUUUGUUUUGGUUAUUGAAGAUCUAGUCUGUGUGUUUGUGAAGAUGUCUUGCUGUGGUGGAAAUUGUGGGUGUGCUGCCAACUGCAGCUGUGGCAAUGGCUGUGGAGGGUGCAAGGCCUUCCCAGAGAAGGUUGUGGAGGCUCCUCUGUUUGCUGCCACUGCUUCUGACAUGGAGUAUUAUGAAGAAAUGAGUGUGGCAGGGGAGAAUGGAUGCAAGUGUGCAGGUGGGUGUAAGUGUGGAGACAACUGCAACUGCAAAU